rnacentral:rRNA from 1 species
CUACGGGGUGCAGCAGUGGGGAAUAUUGCACAAUGGGCGCAAGCCUGAUGCAGCCAUACCGCGUGAGUGAAGAAGGCCUUUGGGUCGUAAAGCUCUUUUCUUGGGGAAGAUAGUGACGGUACCCAAGGAAUAAGCACCGGCUAACUCCGUGCCAGCAGCCGCGGAUAAUACGGAGGGUGCAAGCGUUGUUCGGAUUUACUGGGCGUAAAGGGCACGUAGGCGGCACAGCAAGUUAAGGGUGAAAUCCCGGGGCUCAACUCCGGAACUGCCCUUAAAACUGCUGAGCUAGAGAUAGUCAGAGGCGGGUGGAAUUCCAGGUGUAGAGGUGAAAUUCGUAGAUAUCUGGAGGAACACCGGUGGCGAAGGCGGCCCGCUGGGGCUAUUCUGACGCUAAGGUGCGAAAGCGUGGGGAGCAAACGGGAUUAGAUACCCUUGUAGUC